GGUUGUGUCUCAGCGGUAGAGUGCUUGCCUUGCACACAUGAGGCACUGGGUUCGAUCCUCAGCACCA
rnacentral:tRNA from 1 species